rnacentral:rRNA from 1 species
GACGAACGCUGGCGGCGUGCCUAACACAUGCAAGUCGAGCGGAGCGGCGAACGGGUGAGUAACGCGUGAGUAACUGCCCCCCUCUCUGGGAUAACAGUUGGAAACGGCUGCUAAUACCGGAUAGUGGGGGAUGACUCGCGUCCUAUCAGCUUGUUGGUGGGGUAGUGGCCUACCAAGGCGACGACGGGUAGCCGGCCUGGGAGGGCGACCGGCCACAAUGGGCUGUGUUACGGCCCAGACUCCUACGGUAGGCAGCGGUGGGAAAUAUUGCGCAAUGGGGGAGACCCUGAUGCAGCGACGCCGCGUGCGGGAUGACUGCCUUGGGGUUGUAAACCGCUUUCAGCCAUGACGCGGUAGUGGCAGAAGAAGCACCGGCUAACUACGUGCCAGCAGCCGCGGUAAUAC